GACGUAGGGCGCGAGCGUUGUCCGGAUUUAUUGGGCGUAAAGAGCUCGUAGGCGGCUUGUUGCGUCGACCGUGAAAACCCGGGGCUCAACUUCGGGCUUGCGGUCGAUACGGGCGGGCUAGAGUUCGGUAGGGAGACUGGAAUUCCUGGUGUAGCGGUGAAAUGCGCAGAUAUCAGGAGGAACACCGGUGGCGAAGGCGGGUCUCUGGGCCGAUACUGACGCUGAGGAGCGAAAGCGUGGGGAGCGAACAGG
rnacentral:rRNA from 1 species